AUGCUAAUUAAUUCUUUAGCUAGCAUAACUCUCACUAAACUGCUUUUCCGGUGAUAAUUUGAUUAUUCCCGGUGGAAUAAUUAGGAUUUGAUAUGGUCAAUGACGUUAUUCAGAUUGAGACAAUAAGAAACAAGUAGCUAAUUAAUUAAACGUAACAGUUCAGUAUUUCUGAAAAGAUGUAGAAAGGAAGGAGUAACUAAUCCGUUACCAAAACGCGACUGUUUGAGUAACGGUUCGACCGUUGGUUGUUAUGAAAAGAGGAGGUGACGGUAGUACAGUAGCAGUCGGGAGCAGUACAAUGGGGUUUAGCCGUUCAUAAAGUUGUUGUGAGGCAGAGACUGCUAUUCUCCAGCACACACACACACACACACAGGCGCGCACACACAAACCGGCAAAGGAGAGAGAGAGAAAGCUAGAGAGAGAGAGCUAGAGAGAGAAAGAGAGAGAGAGAGACACAGCCAGAGCGCUACGGUUAUUUCUCCCAGGCUGCGGCCAAGCCUGUGUGGUCUAUAGAGCUGGGAUGCCCUCUGAUACACUGUUGCUAAGGAAAUGGAUGGCUUGAAUGGAUCCGUGGUCCGGGCUGAAUUCUCCUCCUCGCCCCCUCAUCUGCCUACUGGCUUUCAGUGUGUGACUCUGUGUGUUUACAGGAAUCAUUGCGAACAGCGUGACGCGUCAGCGCCAGCUCUGCACCAGCCGGGGUGGAAAUAUGAGAGAGAUGGAGAGAAAUUAAUAGAAACAGAUUCAAUCCUUCAGCAGAGUGGACUAUCUGAUAUGCUGUUUUUCUAUUUCCAUCCAGACAAAAACAUAUUGCCUGUAAGUAGCAGCUACCCAUCCAAAUCCAUCUACCCAUUCCUGCACGCCCUCAGACACGCACACCCACACACUUACUCAUGCUCUUGUGUGUCUUUGUGUACACAGUAAACACUCAGACACGCCGGCUUUUUGCAUGUGCUUUUCACUCCUGUCAUCCUCCUCCACACUGCCAAACAGAAUUUGGCAUUCAAAUAUCUUUAUUGUCUGGGGGUAUGUGCAUGUCAGUCAGUGAUUUGAAGUUGUUUAGGGGGACAUCUUUUUUUCUAGCCAUGGCUCCGUAAGCUUUAAAUCAGUGCUUCGGCUCACACUACUUUCACUAAUCCCCUUUAUUAGCCAGUGGCACGAGGCAGCAUCCCUGUUACGUGGUCAGAGGUUUUGGAAAAUGCUCUUCUUUGCUAUGGUGUCUAUGCCAUGCAAGUAGUCUCAAAGGGAUGAACAGAUGUUUAAUGGCAGAGAGGCAAAAAAAGUAGAAAAGGAGAGGCUUCGCGAGUCAUGGUCGACUGGGUAGCUGUGUGGCAGGCAGCUAAAAAAGGUUUGAGUCAUUCUCCAUAUGUGACUUGUUUUCCAAGUGCGUCAGCAGUGCGCAUAUGCUACCAGUCUGCACCUGCAGACGGUCUCCGUGUCUUAAAUUGCAGCCACUUGACUAUGUCAACAUUCCACUUUUCCCUACCUGUCAGUCCCCCCCCCCAACUCCCUCUGUCCUGCUUGUGUCACAUGUCACAUGGAUGUGAUCGCUGACAAGAGAAAGCUGAUGCAUGUUGAAAGCAUGGCCGCCCAACACACACACGCACACAUAAACAAAACUCCCACCUACUUAUAUGUCAGUAGCACUGUUAAGCUUUCACACAGUCAUGUUCCAGAGUGUGUCUACUUUUUUGCUGAAGGAAGGAUAUUGUUUUCGUGCUUGAGACAGGCCUUGGCAGUGAUGUAUAGAACUGCACAUUCUCUCCUUCUCUCUCAUAAACAUGCAGCUUCCUGGGGGAGAGCAGAUGGCUAAGCCCAGCUCGCCACCUGCAGGCUGCUGCCGGCACGCCAUGGGCAUCUCUGUGGGCACCACUGCCGGCCCUGGCAGACCUGUAGGGCCAGGUUUCUACCCCACCCCGACUUAGCCAUCUUGCCCAGCACAGACUAUAGCUGACAGAACUGGCCUCCUGACAAUAACUCACUGCCCAGGCACCAUAACCAAUGCAAUAAACAAAGUAAAGAAUGUGCCAUGUCAUCAACUAAUACUGACACGUUAUGUGUUUUCGAGAAUGUGCCAAAUUGUCUCAUGAUGACACGUUUUAAUACUAUCUGGAGUUCUUUCUGUUAAUUUUUUUAUUGUGUUGUUUGUACAUGAAUUAUACAUUAGCAAAUGUUUUAUGGAUUUGUGAUUUGUUCUGCCAGACUUAGUCUCAAGUCAACUAGAUACUUGUGUACAGCCCAGUGCAGCUUUUGAGGGUUAUUUUAAAUCCUCUUUAUUUCUCCUUUCCCAAAGCACAGCAAGACUUCCCUGGGAAUGAGUCUUUCAUUGGAAAGACAUGAGUGUGGUAUUUUCUAAAUGAAAAAAAAAGAAAGUAUUUGUUUCAGGAAUUCUGGUUCACUGUAAGUCUGUGACAACUGUACACAAGUAUUUAGGCUUUUAAGGUGUUUGUUUUUACUGAGGGAUCAGGACUCUGUCAGAUUGUUUCAAUAUAAAAUACAAUAUCUCAUGUUCACACCAUAUCUUCUUUAUAAGAAGACUACUCAGUGCACUUUUGCUUGUGUUACUUUACUUGACAGCAGUUUGUUUCAAAUGGCUGAGCAUUCCAAGCUCCCUGGACCAGUACAAAUACAUAACACAACUGGCACUCUGGGGAAAAAAGGGAUAUGAUGAUAGGAUUCAGCAGGGAAACAGGAGCUAGAGAUUUCUCUUUUUGUGGCUGUGCCGCUUGAUCAUCAGCACGCAAUUUCAUUAGCAUAUACAUGGCCAGAGUGUAAAGUGACUAGGUCCUAAAAGUCUAAAGAGUUACAACUCUUCUGCAUAUACUGUACCAAGACAUUGAGUUAUCAUUUUGAUAAUUGCAGCUUAUUUUUGUGGAUGCUUUAGCACUUCUUACUUUGCCAGAGCAUAUUUGUGAUGAAGAACAGUUCACAAGUUCUGAUACAGUUGUCUCAAUGUGCUUGUGCAAGUAGUUCUAUUUUUUACCAAUAAAACUAUUUUGUGAAAGCAA